UAAGAGACAGGUUGCGUGUCGCCGGCAGAACCGCGCCUGGUGGCCUUUCCCGCAGGCCGUAGAGCUGUGCCUUCCGACCGCCGGGGGAAGGCCGCCUGUCCCUCCGCUGGGGCAGGGGGCCCGCAGGGCGCGGGUUGGAGCCCCCCGGAGCAGUGCGCGGGGACCAGCCGCUCUCCUCCCCGCAGUGCAUCACCCGCGAGGCGCGGGCCGCCAACUUCUCCAGCUCGCUCAGCCUGCCGGACAAGACCCUGCAGUUCGUCAAGGACCACCCCCUGAUGGACAGCUCCGUGACCCCGAUAGACAACAGGCCCAGGCUCAUCCGAAGCGACGUGAACUACACGCAGGUCGUGGUGGACCGGACCUGGGCUCUGGAUGGGACCCCCUACGACGUCAUGUUUGUGGGCACAGACCAGGGCGCCCUGCACAAAGCAGUCAGCCUGGAGAACGAGGCCCACAUCAUCGAGGAGACACGGCUCUUCCAGGACCUCGAGCCGGUCCAGACGCUGCUGCUGAAUUCUCAGAAGGUAGAGUGCUGGGUGGGCAGCCUCACGUGUCCGUGUCACCAGCCGGCCGGGCCACGUCACCAGCAGGCCGGGCCGGCACUCACCCGUCCCGUCCAGAGGGCCUGACCUCCAGGCUCUUACAGAAGGUCCUGGGAACCCUGGGCUUUGGGUGGAUGGAAGGCGAGCUGAGUGAUGGAAUGGUCGCCGCGGGUUGGCGGAGCCUCACCGAGUCCCUGGGGGCCCCCAGUGUGGCCGUGGGGGCCUGCUGGCUCAGGGAAACACUCCUGCGCCCCGAGCUUGUCCGGGUCCGCGCCUGUCGCAGGUGAGCUGUCGGUGCGGGAGAGCCGGCUCUGAGCCGUGGUGACGAGGCCCAUGCGGCCGUCAGGCCCCUUCUCCUGCGUCGGGUCGGGGUUGGGUUCCGGAUCCGGAUCUGGUUCGGCCCCCCCGCAGAAGCUAGGACUGGGUGCUUGAGGCUCUGGGGGCCGCAGUGUCCGUGCGCUGGCCGCACUCUGGCAGUGCCUUCGUCACGGGCCCCAGGCUCCGGAGCUCACGCAACUUCCGAGGGUCACAGGAUAGCAUGCUUUUGACUUUUUUUCUCUACCAUUAACAGUGUGAAAUCUGGCACGAGCUGGGGGGUAGCACAGAAAUAGCCAAGGGGCUGGAUUGGCUCCGCAGGCCGCCCCCUGCCAUCUGUCCCCACGGCCUGGGACACAGGCCUCCCUCUUUCCCACAGGGGUGGGGGGUGCAGGAGGGGCAGAGCAGGCCUGGUCCAGGACCGUGAGCGCGAGCCCAGCAGGCCAGUCCUGCCUUAGUCUUUUGUGUACCUGGGGGACAGCGGAUCCUGUGAGUGGCCCAGCCCUGCUCUGGCCAAAGGCCUCACCUCUCCGUGUGGGCGUCCCCAUGCUGUGAGCCCAAGCCCGAGGGGCCGGCCGCGCGCCUGUUCCCUGUAGCUGCAGAGCUGGGCUAGGCCCGGCCCCGCAUGUGCAGCUCUGCUUGGCGGGGCCUGCUCUGCAGGGCGUUGCUCACCUGCUGGGUGACCCAGAGUGCAGUUUGACCCAGAAUGCUCCCGAGCCUCCUCGCUGGGUGCAGACAGAGCGUCCCACUGCAGGAGGGGGUCCGACAGCCCCUCUGCGCGUCCCCGCAGCCUGCGCUCUGGUGGGGACAGCAGGAAGCAAGGGGCCCGGCAGCCAGGCAGGGGACGAGGGAAGCAGCCGACUUCUCGGGCACCUACGGGUCCCCUUCGUGGUGAGCUUAACGUCCUUGGAUCUGGUGUCCAGACUCCCGUCACAGGGUCACGUCCCCUGCCAGCCACUGCUGUGUGCACCU
ensembl:lncRNA